rnacentral:rRNA from 1 species
CUCCAGUUGGAUGCAUGUCCUUCUGGGAAAGAUUCAUCGGUAUGGGAUGGGGUCGCGUCCUAUCAGCUUGAUGGCGGGGUAACGGCCCACCAUGGCUUCGACGGGUAGCCGGCCUGAGAGGGCGACCGGCCACAUUGGGACUGAGAUACGGCCCAGACUCCUACGGGAGGCAGCAGUGGGGAAUAUUGCACAAUGGGCGCAAGCCUGAUGCAGCGACGCCGCGUGCGGGAUGACGGCCUUCGGGUUGUAAACCGCUUUUGACUGGGAGCAAGCCCUUCGGGGUGAGUGUACCUUUCGAAUAAGCACCGGCUAACUACGUGCCAGCAGCCGCGGUAAUACGUAGGGUGCAAGCGUUAUCCGGAAUUAUUGGGCGUAAAGGGCUCGUAGGCGGUUCGUCGCGUCCGGUGUGAAAGUCCAUCGCUUAACGGUGGAUCCGCGCCGGGUACGGGC